rnacentral:misc_RNA from 1 species
UUAAGUUCAGCGGGUAGUCCUACCUGAUUUGAGGUCACAUUAAUGAAAAACUGUCCAAGUCAAUGGACUGUUAGAAGCUGAACUGCCUCACGUCAAUAGCGUAGAUAAUUAUCACACCAAUGAACGGUCAACAAAUUGUUCCGCUAAUACAUUUUAGGGGAGCUGACCUCUUGAAAAGACCAGCAAAAAGACCCCCACAU